AGAGUUUGAUCCUGGCUCAGAUUGAACGCUGGCGGUAUGCUUUACACAUGCAAGUCGAACGGCAGCGGGGGCUUCGGCCUGCCGGCGAGUGGCGAACGGGUGAGUAAUGCAUCGGAACGUGCCCAGUCAUGGGGGAUAACUACGCGAAAGCGUAGCUAAUACCGCAUACGCCCUGAGGGGGAAAGCGGGGGAUCGCAAGACCUCGCGUGAUUGGAGCGGCCGAUGUCGGAUUAGCUAGUUGGUGGGGUAAAGGCCUACCAAGGCGACGAUCCGUAGCGGGUCUGAGAGGAUGAUCCGCCACACUGGGACUGAGACACGGCCCAGACUCCUACGGGAGGCAGCAGUGGGGAAUUUUGGACAAUGGGGGCAACCCUGAUCCUAGCCAUGCCGCGUGAGUGAAGAAGGCCUUCGGGUU
rnacentral:rRNA from 1 species